UACGUAGGGUGCGAGCGUUACUCGGAAUUACUGGGCGUAAAGCGUGCGCAGGCGGUCAUGCAAGACAGAUGUGAAAUCCCCGGGCUUAACCUGGGAACUGCAUUUGUGACUGCACGGCUAGAGUGCGGCAGAGGGGGAUGGAAUUCCGCGUGUAGCAGUGAAAUGCGUAGAUAUGCGGAGGAACACCGAUGGCGAAGGCGAUCCCCUGGGCCUGCACUGACGCUCAUGCACGAAAGCGUGGGGAGCAAACAGG
rnacentral:rRNA from 1 species